rnacentral:rRNA from 1 species
CGGACGGGUGAGUAACGCGUGGGUAACCUGCCUUGUACAGGGGGAUAACAGUUGGAAACGGCUGCUAAUACCGCAUAAGCGCACGGCAUCGCAUGAUGCAGUGUGAAAAACUCCGGUGGUAUAAGAUGGACCCGCGUUGGAUUAGCUAGUUGGUGAGGUAACGGCCCACCAAGGCGACGAUCCAUAGCCGACCUGAGAGGGUGACCGGCCACAUUGGGACUGAGACACGGCCAA